rnacentral:piRNA from 1 species
UUUAAAGAGAAGGGAAUGCUACAGGUGG